AACACCCUCCGGCCCCGGUUUUUUGCGAAACCGGCGGCGCGGGCCCAUGGCGUGGGGAUUGCGGCCGCCGCGUUUCGGCGCGGCGCGACCCUCCCCCGCUUAAACGCGGAGAAAAGCUAGCGGCCAGGCGCCCCCAUUGCGACGACUCGUAGAUUUACAUCUUUGUCGGCAUGCAUGGCGAGCGACCCCCGCCUUAAACCGUGGAGGGAUGACCCUUCGGGGCAACCCACCCAGAA
rnacentral:misc_RNA from 1 species